rnacentral:hammerhead_ribozyme from 1 species
ACACUGCUGAAGAGUCCCAUACUAUGACGAAACGACCGUCCGGUGU